AUUGAACGCUGGCGGCAGGCCUAACACAUGCAAGUCGAACGAGUGGCGGACGGGUGAGUAAUGUCUGGGAAACUGCCUGAUGGAGGGGGAUAACUACUGGAAACGGUAGCUAAUACCGCAUACCAUCGGAUGUGCCCAGAUGGGAUUAGCUAGUAGGUGGGGUAAAGGCUCACCUAGGCGACGAUCCCUAGCUGGUCUGAGAGGAGGACCAGCAAAACUGGAACGGAGACACGGUCCAGACGCCUACGGGAGGCAGCAGUGGGGAAUAUGGAACAAUGGGCGCAAGCCUGAUGCAGCCAGGCCGCGUGUAUGAAGAAGGCCUGAGGGUUGUAAAGUACUUUCAGCGGGGAGGCGUGACCAGCAGAAGAAGCACCGGCUAACUCCGUGCCAGCAGCCGCGGUAAUC
rnacentral:rRNA from 1 species